rnacentral:sRNA from 1 species
CGGACUGUUCGGUCCUAUCCAGGAAAUACUGGAAUGACUGUGAGCCACCUGAUUCCAGACGUCCAUCUGAAAUAGUGGAGAACAUGAAGAUGAAUAAGCAGAGAUUCAAGAUUUCAUUUCCAGAAAAUGAGAGGUUCACACUCCUGGAACUUUCACCACUUUUUCCCUUGAAAAUGUUUGGGGUAUGGCCAUGAUGCUUUAAAUAGUUUCUUGCUGGUUCUCCUGAGGAUUUUGAGUGCCAACAGGAUGCAGCACACAGAAACUGACUAAGAAAAUGCAGGGUUUGAGACAAGCUUUGAUGAAAGAAAUGCAUUUUUAAAUGAACAGUAGGAGGAUGUUGCAUCACCUUUUUGCUCUUUCAUAUCUGACCUGAGGAAGGCAGGAUGCAAUGACUCAGCAAGUCCUCAAGAGCCUCUUUCUUACAGGUGAUCGGACAAUGUAAGGUAAUAGCUACAAGACAUUCCCAUGAACCUCAGGACCUCAGAGUGAUUGACUUUAACUGCACCACAAGUUCUGUCUCUUCAGCACUGGCCAAUACCAAAGAUAGUCCGGUCCUCAUAGAUUUCUUUGAGGAUACUGAGCGCUACAGAAAACAAGCCGACAAAGCCCUUGAGAAGUACAAAGAGGAGAAUGAUGACUUUGCCUCUUUCAGAGUGGACCGAAUCGAGAGAGUUGCAAGAGUGAGAGGAGGGGAAGGAACCGGUUACUUCGUGGACUUCUCUGUGCGGAACUGCUCCAGACACCAUUUCCCCAGACACCCCAAUGUGAGUAUAAGAAAUGUCUGUGAUCGUUGACUAGAGUCACAGAGAAAAAAGAAAGAGAAGAAGAAGGAGAAGAAGGAGAAGAGGAAUGAGAAGGAGAAAAUGAGGAGGAGGAGAAGAAGGAAGAAAUGUCUGUGAAAUACAAAGUAUCAUCUGGGAAGCACUUAGUACCUGCCAGGCACUCUUCUAAGUGAUUUACACAUCAGAUAACUUAUUGUUUUGUUUUGUUUUCGAGAUGGAGUUUCGCUCUUGUUGCCCAGGCUGGAGUGCAAUGGCACAGUGUCGGCUCACUGCAACCUCCGCCUCCCGGGUUCAGGUGAUUCUCCUGCCUCAGCCUCCGGAGUAACUGGGAUUACAGGCAUGCACCACCACGCCCAGCUAAUUUUUGUAUUUUUAGUAGAGAUGGGGUUUCACCAUGUUGGUCAGGUUGGUCUCAAACUCCUUAUCUCAGGUGUCCACCCACUUCGGCUGGGAUUACAAAUCAAAGUGCUGGGGUUACAGGCAUGAGCCACCAUGCCCGGCCUAUGAUAACUUAUUAACCCUCACACUACCAUAUGAGAUAGAUACUAUUUUUAAUCCCAAAUUAGCAGAUAGGGAAACUGAGGCACAGAGAACAUAAGCGAACCAUAAGAACAUGAUUUUAUAAUAUACAUGAUAUAUACCUAAACUUAAAACUAAGUUUCUAACUGAUUAGGAUUAAAGGCUUAGUUAGAACUAUAGCAGUUCGUACUAAGACCUUACACCAAGUGGUUUUAUUAAUUCCACAUCAUCACACUCACAGGAAUCCCACUUGACAAAUGAGGAGGUAACUGAAAAUCAGCAAAGGAAAGGUCUUGCCGAUGUUCACAACCAAGCUGAGAUUAAAACUUAGUUAUUCUCAUACAAAGUCCAGUGGGAUUUUUCCUCUGAUCAUUUACAAAUAGAUUCCCAUGUACCUGCCGGAAGACAUUAUUAAUACCACCUGGCAUUUGCAUGGUGACCUACAGUUAAAGAAACACCUCCACAUCUGUUAUCGCCAGGUCAGAGCCUCAUGAAAAUCCUGCUGACAAGGAAAAGCAAGUAUCUGCCUACAUUUCCCUGUGACAAGGGGACCUGAAAUUAAAACCACUUACCUAAAGGCACUUAGCUAGAGAGUGUUAGGAAAUGGAAUUUUAAUUAUGAUGCCAAGUCCAGGAUUUUUCUGAUGUUUAACAACACAUUCUCCCUGGUCAAAAGGGAGAAACCAUCCAUUAGUACCUUUGUUAGCUCUUCUAAUGUCCACACUGAACCAGGUCUAGAAUUCUUCUUAGCGGCCACCAGAAAAGACACCUCCCUCCCCUACUCCUAUGGCCAACAAAUCCUUCAUGAUCUUGGUGUGGAUAAUGUAAACCCAGAGCUGAAGCACCAGAGCUGAAGAGGAGGCUCAGGGGUGAGUGUUUUACAGCAUCCUCUUGUUUAGUCAAUCCCUCCCACAACCUGUGAGUACAUAGUAUUAUCCCCAUUUUACAAUGGCUGACUUUCAGAAAUCUUUUGUAACUUUCCCAAACUCAGACAACUAGGAAAUGGAGAAGCCAGGAUUAACAUAGGUCUCUCUGAUUCCCAAACUGUACUCAGAACCUCAAUGCUUAGCAAUUUCUUCUAGCAGACAGCCGUCCUCUUGUCCUAGUCGAUCUUUCACAGGUGGGUUUAGGAGCAUCUGGAGCACAGGAGUGGCAGCCAGUUGUAGCCCUUGUACUUGGGUGGAGUCAGCAGACACUUGCCUUGACAAUGUCCAUGAAAACCCAUCUUUAUGCUAUACAGAUGCCCUCCUGUCCAACACUUUCCUCCAAGGGACCAGCUGAAGUUGUAAAAAUCCCUCUUUGACACCAUUCCUCAUUGUCCUAGGCACAGGCAACUGAGGUCUCCAGUGCAGAAGGGUUGGCCUAAAUGCAAGGCAGCAAUGAUGUGGUUUUCCUCAUCAUUUCCAUCACCCAUGGGGAAGCCCGGUGCUGGUGCCUGCUCAUGAAAAAAACCACAGCAACUUUAGUGAUACCCUUCACCACCUGCACUUUCCCCAAAGUGUUAACAAGGAAAGAUUGCUGAACGACUGGUGGGAAUAUCUGAUCAUAUUACCCUGAUUUUUCUAAAGCACUUCUUCCCUUUCUGAACGUCUGGAAGCUAACUCUGGCUGGUCAUCUUCACACCACCUGGACACACACACUAACAGCUCCUCAUUCCUUUGUAGGUCUUUGGAUUCUGCAGAGCAGAUUUGUUCUAUGAUGUAGAAGCCUUGGACUUGGAAAGCCCGGAAAACCUUGUCAUAAACUGUGAAGUCUUCAACCCUCAGGAACAUGAGCACAUCAGUGGUGUACCGCCUCAUUUGGGACAUCCCUUCCACUGGGGUGGGCAUGAGCGUUCUUCUACCACCAAGCAUCCAUUCAAGCCCCAUGGAUUCAGAGAUCAUCAUCAUCCCCACAAGCCACACGAACAUGGACCCCCACCUCCUCCAGAUGAAAGAGAUCACUCACAUGGACCCCCACUUCCACAAGGCCCUCCUCCACUAUUGCCCAUGUCCUGCUUAAGUUGUCAACAUGCCACUUUUGAAACAAAUGGGGCCCAAAGACAUUCUCAUAAUAAUAAUUCCAGUGACCUCCAUCCCCAUAAGCAUCAUUCCCAUGAACAGCAUCCCCACGGACACCAUCCCCAUGCACACCAUCCUCAUGAACAUGAUACCCAUAGACAGCAUCCCCAUGGACACCACCCCCAUGGACGCCAUCCUCAUGGACACCACCCCCAUGGACACCAUCCCCAUGGACACCAUCCCCACUGCCAUGAUUUCCAAGACUAUGGACCUUGUGACCCACCACCCCAUAACCGAGGUCACUGUUGCCAUGGCCACGGCCCACCACCUGGGCACUUAAGAAGGCGAGGCCCAGGUAAAGGACCCCAUCCCUUCCAUUGCAGACAAAUUGGAUCUGUGUACCGACUCCCUCCUCUAAGAAAAGGUGAGGUGCUGCCACUUCCUGAGGCCAAUUUUCCCAGCUUCCCAUUGCCGCACCACAAACAUCCUCUAAAGCCAGACAUUCAGCCCUUUCCUCAAUCAGCCUCUGAAUCAUGUCCAGGGAAGUUCAAGAGUGGGUUUCCACAAGUUUCCACGUUUUUUACACAUACAUUUCCAAAAUAAAAUGUGAUUCCUUUGAAGAGGAAAAUGAAUAAUACAUUGAAUUAGAAACAUAUAUAAAAUGAUCAGUAAUUGUGAAAAUUACAGUUCUUUUCAACCUACUUUCAUACUGAAGAUGCAGCAAAAUGUGAAUGGGAAAAGAGAUGGCCUGAGAAGAGAGAUCAAAUGGAAAGGAGAGGAAAGAACUCAGUGCUGCCAAUUAGUAGUUAAUUCUGUCACUCACCACUACAUCACUUGAGACAAAUCUAUGCCACUCAGAACCUCCUUCUUUCCUGGACUUAACUCUAAUUCUAGAGUCUCUGUUACUGCUUGGGCUAUACCUAGGCAUACCAAUAAAAUAUGGUAUUGAAA